UACGGAGGGUGCGAGCGUUGUCCGGAAUCAUUGGGCGUAAAGGGCGCGUAGGUGGCCCAGUCAGCGUGCGGUGAAAGCUCGGGGCUCAACCCCGAGUCGGCCGUGCGAACUACUGGGCUGGAGCACUGUAGAGGCAGGCGGAAUUCCGGGUGUAGCGGUGGAAUGCGUAGAGGUCCGGAAGAACACCGGUGGCGAAGGCGGCCUGCUGGGCAGUUGCUGACACUGAGGCGCGACAGCGUGGGGAGCAAACAGG
rnacentral:rRNA from 1 species